GACAGAGGGUGCAAACGUUGCUCGGAAUUACUGGGCGUAAAGCGCGUGUAGGCGGCUUGGUAAGUCGGACGUGAAAGCCCCGGGCUCAACCCGGGAAGUGCACUCGAAACUGGGAGGCUAGAGUACUGGAGAGGUUGGUGGAAUUCUCGGUGUAGAGGUGAAAUUCGUAGAUAUCGAGAGGAACACCGGUGGCGAAGGCGGCCAACUGGACAGAUACUGACGCUGAGACACGAAAGCGUGGGGAGCAAACAGG
rnacentral:rRNA from 1 species